rnacentral:rRNA from 1 species
AGAGUUUGAUCCUGGCUCAGGACGAACGCUGGCGGCGUGCCUAAUACAUGCAAGUCGAACGAAGCUUUCUUUCACCGAAUGCUUGCAUUCACCGAAAGAAGCUUAGUGGCGAACGGGUGAGCAACACGUAGGCAACCUGCCCAAAAGAGGGGGAUAACACUUGGAAACAGGUGCUAAUACCGCAUAACCAUGAACACCGCAUGAUGUUCGUGUAAAAGACGGCUUUUGCUGUCACUUUUGGAUGGGCCUGCGGCGUAUUAACUUGUUGGUGGGGUAACGGCCUACCAAGGUGAUGAUACGUAGCCGAACUGAGAGGUUGAUCGGCCACAUUGGGACUGAGACACGGCCCAAACUCCUACGGGAGGCAGCAGUAGGGAAUCUUCCACAAUGGACGAAAGUCUGAUGGAGCAACGCCGCGUGAAUGAAGAAGGCCUUCGGGUCGUAAAAUUCUGUUGUCAGAGAAGAAUGUGCGUGAGAGUAACUGUUCACGUAUUGACGGUAUCUGACCAGAAAGCCACGGCUAACUACGUGCCAGCAGCCGCGGUAAUACGUAGGUGGCAAGCGUUGUCCGGAUUUAUUGGGCGUAAAGGGAACGCAGGCGGUCUUUUAAGUCUGAUGUGAAAGCCUUCGGCUUAACCGAAGUAGUGCAUUGGAAACUGGAAGACUUGAGUGCAGAAGAGGAGAGUGGAACUCCAUGUGUAGCGGUGAAAUGCGUAGAUAUAUGGAAGAACACCAGUGGCGAAAGCGGCUCUCUGGUCUGUAACUGACGCUGAGGUUCGAAAGCGUGGGUAGCAAACAGGAUUAGAUACCCUGGUAGUCCACGCCGUAAACGAUGAGUGCUAAGUGUUGGAGGGUUUCCGCCCUUCAGUGCUGCAGCUAACGCAUUAAGCACUCCGCCUGGGGAGUACGGUCGUAAGACUGAAACUCAAAGGAAUUGACGGGGGCCCGCACAAGCGGUGGAGCAUGUGGUUUAAUUCGAAGCAACGCGAAGAACCUUACCAGGUCUUGACAUCUUCUGACAAUUCCAGAGAUGGAACGUUCCCUUCGGGGACAGAAUGACAGGUGGUGCAUGGUUGUCGUCAGCUCGUGUCGUGAGAUGUUGGGUUAAGUCCCGCAACGAGCGCAACCCUUAUUGUCAGUUGCCAUCAUUAAGUUGGGCACUCUGGCGAGACUGCCGGUGACAAACCGGAGGAAGGUGGGGAUGACGUCAAAUCAUCAUGCCCCUUAUGACCUGGGCUACACACGUGCUACAAUGGACGGUACAACGUGUCGCUAACUCGCGAGGGCAAGCUAAUCUCUUAAAGCCGUUCUCAGUUCGGAUUGCAGGCUGCAACUCGCCUGCAUGAAGUCGGAAUCGCUAGUAAUCGCGAAUCAGCAUGUCGCUGUGAAUACGUUCCCGGGCCUUGUACACACCGCCCGUCACACCAUGAGAGUUUGUAACACCCAAAGUCGGUGGGGUAACCUUUUGGAGCCAGCCGCCUAAGGUGGGACAGAUGAUUGGGGUGAAGUCGUAACAAGGUA